rnacentral:rRNA from 1 species
UACGGAAGGCAGCAGUGGGGAAUAUUGCACAAUGGGCGAAAGCCUGAUGCAGCUAUGCCGCGUGUAUGAAGAAGGCCUUAGGGUUGUAAAGUACUUUCAUCGGGGAGGAAAAACAAAACUAAUAAUUUUAUUUCUUGACGUUACCCGAAAAAGAAGCACCGGCUAACUCCGUGCCAGCAGCCGCGGUAAUACGGAGGGUGCUAGCGUUAAUCAGAAUUACUGGGCGUAAAGAGCACGUAGGUGGUUUUUUUAAGUCAGAUGUGAAAUCCCUGGGCUUAACCUAGGAACUGCAUUUUGAAACUGAAAUACUAGAGUAUCGUAGAGGGAGGUAGAAUUCUAGGUGUAGCGGUGAAAUGCGUAGAUAUCUGGAGGAAUACCUGUGGCGAAAGCGGCCUCCUAAACGAAUACUGACACUGAGGUGCGAAAGCGUGGGGAGCAAACGAGGGAUUAGAUACCCGU